AGAUAAAACAUGAAGGUCCUGUUCAUUGUGGUCUAAAAGGUAAUCAUAUGUUCUAGGCCCAUGAGUUACCAGGCUUCAGGUUAACUCUGCUGCGUGAGGAGGAAGUCUUUUCUUGUUUUCUGUCAAACCGAACACAAGUGUAUGAUGAACUGAAACCGCAGACCAGAUGUCAAACCAGCCACGCCUUCUAUCGUGUGUUUAAAUAUCUCCCAGUAUAACAGAGUGAGAGAGAGGACACACUAUGACUCUAAUAUCAGCAGCAAGAGGAUUUCUAGCUUUCCUUCUGUCAGCACCAGGGACCAGGUCCAGACAGAGAUGGGAGGAACCUCCCAGUUGUAAGCGCCGUCAAAUCAACACCCCAGAGUGCGAACCAGUAGCGGCAGCAGGAUUUAAAUAGUGGGACUCAGUAUAGUGUCUCAUUCAUUCAGGUGAAACUGGACAAUACUUUGGCUGAUUGUUUGCUGCAUAUCCUACUGCACUUUGUUUCCUGUGCAGUAUAAUGCCAUUUUCUACAUCUCUAUCAUUAAUGUGGGAUCUUUGCAUUUUCUUAAUUGUAUUUUUUUGAGUUUGGUGAUCAUGUGAUGGUCUUUUCCAUUAUUGCGCUAUAUUAAUCAAAUGAUAACAUGAAUAUGAAAGUAUCCAAUCACAUUGGAGUUUUAAAAAGGUAAUCUUAAGUAAUGCUUACAUUAUCAAUAAAAAAACAGCCUUCCAUGCCUCAUUGACAUGACCAAAGGGAAACUAUUAAACACUAUUAUGCACGAAACAUGGUGUUCAAUGUUCUGUUGACACAGUAGUUUCCAGGCUUCAUGAUAAUUCUGAUGCUUUUUCUUUGUCCUUUACAUUUAUUUCGUUCAGCUAACUGCAUGAUGACCUGGAACCCCAAACGAUGUUGUAGUUUCUUGACUUUAUUUCAUUGCUUGACAUAUAUAUUGCAUAACUAUAUAUAACUGGCCGGUUGGCUGUCCCGCUUGCUCCACAGAUGCUUAUGGAGCUUCUUGACUCCGAAAACGUUGACGUACAUUUUCUAUUCACCACAAAUUCGUUUUUGUUCCCUGAACAAUGUGGAGGGAGGGAGGAAAUUAGGGAGGGUUUUGAGGAUGCUUUACUGUAUGAUGGUCUGAUACAUACAAAUUGUCUUUGUGAAAAUAAAGGAGAAAGUAUUGUUUGAAAAGAAAAUCAUCAAAUCAAAGGUGAACACAUGAGUGUUGGGGACAGCAUUUGAGAAGUAAGACUCACAACAGACUUGACAAAAGGGAAAACUAUGAAAAACCAUGGUGCAAGUGUGUGUGUGUGUGUGUGUGUGUGUGUGUGUGUGUGUGUGUGUGUGUGUG